rnacentral:rRNA from 1 species
GUGGGGAAUCUUGCGCAAUGGGCGAAAGCCUGACGCAGCCAUGCCGCGUGAAUGAUGAAGGUCUUAGGAUUGUAAAAUUCUUUCACCGGGGACGAUAAUGACGGUACCCGGAGAAGAAGCUCCGGCUAACUUCGUGCCAGCAGCCGCGGUAAUACGAAGGGGGCUAGCGUUGCUCGGAAUUACUGGGCGUAAAGGGCGCGUAGGCGGACAGCUUAGUCAGAGGUGAAAGCCCAGGGCUCAACCUUGGAAUUGCCUUUGAUACUGGCUGUCUUGAGUACGGGAGAGGUGAGUGGAGCUCCGAGUGUAGAGGUGAAAUUCGUAGAUAUUCGGAAGAACACCAGUGGCGAAGGCGACUCACUGGCCCGUUACUGACGCUGAGGCGCGAAAGCGUGGGGAGCAAACAGGAUUAGAUACCCCUGUAGUCC